rnacentral:rRNA from 1 species
AUACGAAGGGGGCUAGCGUUGUUCGGAAUUACUGGGCGUAAAGCGCACGUAGGCGGCUUUCCAAGUUGGAGGUGAAAUCCCCGGGCUUAACCUGGGAACUGCCUCCAAAACUGGGAAGCUCGAGUCCGAGAGAGGUGAGUGGAAUUUCCAGUGUAGAGGUGAAAUUCGUAGAUAUUGGAAAGAACACCUGUGGCGAAGGCGGCUCACUGGCUCGGUACUGACGCUGAGGCGCGACAGCGUGGGGAGC